rnacentral:rRNA from 1 species
CCUGAUGCAGCCAUGCCGCGUGUGUGAAGAAGGCCUUCGGGUUGUAAAGCACUUUCAGUAGGGAGGAAGGUAGUGUAGUUAACACCUGCAUUAUUUGACGUUACCUACAGAAGAAGCACCGGCUAACUCCGUGCCAGCAGCCGCGGUAAUACGGAGGGUGCGAGCGUUAAUCGGAAUUACUGGGCGUAAAGCGCAUGCAGGCGGCCUGUUAAGUCAGAUGUGAAAGCCCGGGGCUUAACCUCGGAAUUGCAUUUGAAACUGGCAGGCUAGAGUCUUGUAGAGGGGGGUAGGAAUUUCAGGUGUAGCGGUGAAAUGCGUAGAGAUCUGAAGGAAUACCAGUGGCGAAGGCGGCCCCCUGGACAAAGACUGACGCUCAGAUGCGAAAGCGUGGGGAGCAAACAGGAUUAGAUACCCUGGUAG